CAAUAGCGUAUAUUAAAGUUGUUGCAGUUAAAAGCUCGUAGUUGGAUCUCGGGUGCAGGCUGGCGGUCUCACUCUCGUGGGUACUGCCCGUCCUCGCCUCGCUGGUCGGUCUCCUCUUGGUGCCCUUGACUGGGUGUCUCGAGUGGCCGGAACGUUUACUUUGAAAAAUUUAAGAGUGUUCAAAGCAGGCAGUUCGCCUGAAUAAUGUUGCAUGGAAUAAUGGAAUAGGACCUCGGUUCUAUUUUGUUGGUUUUCGGAAGUCGAGGUAAUGAUUAAGAGGGACAGACGGGGCGAUUCGUAUUACGGUGUUAGAGGUGAAAUU
rnacentral:rRNA from 1 species